rnacentral:rRNA from 1 species
UGGGGGAUAUUGCACAAUGGGCGAAAGCCUGAUGCAGCGACGCCGCGUGGGGGAUGAAGGCCUUCGGGUUGUAAACUUCUUUUGCUCUGAACAAGGCGCACCAUGGGGUGUGUUGAGUGUAGGGGUUGAUUAGCGCCGGCUAACUACGUGCCAGCAGCCGCGGUAAUACGUAGGGCGCGAGCGUUGUCCGGAAUUAUUGGGCGUAAAGGGCUUGUAGGUGGCUGGUUGCGUCUGUCGUGAAAGCUCAUGGCUUAACUGUGGGUUUGCGGUGGGUACGGGCUGGCUUGAGUGCAGUACGGGAGGCUGGACUUCCUGGUGUAGCGGUGGAAUGCUCAUAUAUCAGUAGGAAUACCGGUGGCGAAGGCGGGUCUCUGGGCUGUUACUGACACUAAGAAGCGUAAGCAUGGGGAGCGAACAGG